rnacentral:rRNA from 1 species
GAUGAACGCUGGCGGUAUGCUUAACACAUGCAAGUCGAACGGACUCUUCGGAGUUAGUGGCGGACGGGCGCGUAACGCGUGAGAAUCUGGCUUUGGGUUCGGGACAACCACUGGAAACGGUGGCUAAUACCGGCUGUGCCGAGAGGUCAAAGAGAAAUUGCCUGGAGAUGAGCUCGCGUCUGAUUAGCUAGUUGGUGAGGUAAAGGCGCACCCAGGCAGCGCUCAGUAGCUGGUCUGAGAGGAUGACCAGCCACACUGGGACUGAGACACGGCCCAGACCCCUACGGGAGGCAGCAGGGGGGAAUUGUCCGCAAGGGGCGAAAGCCUGACGGAGCAAUACCGCGUGAGGGAAGGAGGCUCUUGGGGUGUAAACCUCUUUUCUUAGGGAAGAACAAAAUGACGGUACCUAAGGAAUCAGCAUCGGCUAACUCCGUG